rnacentral:rRNA from 1 species
UACGUAGGGACCAAGCGUUGUUCGGAUUUACUGGGCGUAAAGGGCGCGUAGGCGGCAAAUUAAGUCAUCUGUGAAAUCUCCGAGCUUAACUUGGAACGGUCAGGUGAUACUGAUCUGCUAGAGUGCGGAAGGGGCAAUCGGAAUUCUUGGUGUAGCGGUGAAAUGCGUAGAUAUCAAGAGGAACACCUGAGGUGAAGACGGGUUGCUGAGCCGACACUGACGCUGACAGCGCGAAAGCCAGGGGAGCAAACGGG